AAAACUGAAUGGGAAGCCAAGGAAACACAUCAGGUGACGAAAAUUGUUUGCUGUUCUGCACAUAUCCAAGAAUGACCCCAAAAGAUUUUCAAUGACCAGUUCUAUGGUUACCAACCUAUUGGGCCACAUCAUAGACAUCAAGUGAAUUGACAUUGCCUUUAUCAAUGACAGGUCACUAGAGCAGGCUGGUUUGGAACAGGGCUUGGCCAUCACGUUUGUGUCAGAUGAGAAUGAUGCAAGGAUCCACUGUGAUGGGCAGCAUCGCUUUGAGUUGAACAGACACGGUAGAGGACUUACCAAUUCUGGGAUAUGAUCGUCUGUCCUUCAGGAGAAGACACCAGGAUGGGGGUGAAGGAGACACUACUGCCUCCACCCCUGAGAGCCACCACCACAUGGCUUCCCUCCUCUGCAUCAGCACCACUCCUGAACCCCCAUUCCUGAUUGUCAGAAUUUUUAAAAUCCUAACUAGGCUGGGCACGGUGGCUCACGCAUAUAAUCCCUGCACUUUGGGAGGCCGAGGCGGGUGGAUCACCUGAAGUCGGGAGUUCAAGACUAACCUGACCAAUAUGGAGAAACCCAGUGUCUACUACAAAUACAAAAAUAACCCGGCGUGAUGACAGGCGCCUAUAAUCCCAGCUAAUCGGGAGGCUGAGUCUCAAGAAUCGCUUGAACCCGGGAGGCAGAGGUUGCAGUGAGCCGAGAUCGCACCGUUGCACUCCAGCCUGGGCAACAAGAGUGAAACUCCAUCUCAAAAAAAAAAAAAUCCUAGCUAAAAAUGGAACACAUGUGUGUCUGUGGUAUCUGCACGCUACAUCUUCUUACUGUGUUUGGGGAGAGGUUAUUGUAGGACACGAUCUAGGGUAAAUUCCUGUAAGGCUGAGGUGCACUGCUGUGAGGUCAAAGGAGGGAUGGGACUGAGACUGCAGAGCCCUGGCUCCCCACU